rnacentral:rRNA from 1 species
GAAGAAGAACAAGAUGAAGAAGAUGUUCAACCAAGACCCAAGCAAAAGCUGACACGAGUUCGAGCAAGAAUUGCUAAAGAUCAUCCUGUCGAGCAAAUCUACAAUGAUAUCCAAACCGGGAGAAUCACUCGCUCUAAAACUCGUUUAGCUAACUUUUGUGAACACUAUUCAUUCAUCUCUAGCAUUGAACCUACGAAGGUAGAAGAAGCAUUGGAAGAUCCGGAUUGGAUAAACGCCAUGCAUGAAGAGCUAUACAACUUUGAGAGAAAUCAAGUUUGGACAUUGGUUGAGAAGCCCGACAACAACCACAACAUCAUCGGUACCAAAUGGGUGUUUCGCAACAAGCAAGAUGAAGAUGGACAAGUAGUUCACAACAAAGCACGUCUCGUCGCCCAAGGCUACACACAAGUCGAAGGUAUGGACUAUGGUGAGACUUAUGCUCCCGUUGCUAGACUUGCGUCCAUUCGCAUCUUACUUGCCUAUGCUAAUCACCAUGAUAUCACCUUGUACCAAAUGGACAUUAAAAGUGCUUUUCUAAAUGGUGAAAUAGAGGAGGAAGUUUAUGUUAAACAACCUCCCAGCUUUGUUAAUCCUAAGAAACCUGAUCAUGUUUACAAACUACACAAAGCUCUUUAC